rnacentral:rRNA from 1 species
AGUGAACGCUGGCGGUAGGCCUAACACAUGCAAGUCGAACGGCAGCACAGUAAGAGCUUGCUCUUACGGGUGGCGAGUGGCGGACGGGUGAGGAAUACAUCGGAAUCUACUUUUUCGUGGGGGAUAACGUAGGGAAACUUACGCUAAUACCGCAUACGACCUACGGGUGAAAGCAGGGGAUCUUCUGACCUUGCGCGAUUGAAUGAGCCGAUGUCGGAUUAGCUAGUUGGCGGGGUAAAGGCCCACCAAGGCGAGGAUCCGUAGCUGGUCUGAGAGGAUGAUCAGCCACACUGGAACUGAGACACGGUCCAGACUCCUACGGGAGGCAGCAGUGGGGAAUAGUGGACAAUGGGCGCAAGCCUGAUCCAGCCAUACCGCGUGGGUGAAGAAGGCCUUCGGGUUGUAAAGCCGUUUUGUUGGGAAAGAAAAGCAGCAGGUUAAUACCCCGCUGUUCUGACGGUACCCAAAGAAUAAGCACCGGCUAACUUCGUG